AAGAAGGCGCAGUUGGGAAAUUGAGUAAUUAGUAAUGAAUAGCAGGCAUAUUUGGAAAAUUAUGCCGAUAAGCAGGAUGGAAUUUGGGAAAAAAUGUUAUAAAUCGAGUGGCUCAUUUACGAUGUGCUCCAAACAUUUGGCGAACUUUUUUUCGCCUUUUCAACGUGCUAAG